rnacentral:lncRNA from 1 species
AAACACCCAUAAUGUUAUAUUUCAAUUUUAUUCCAUUCUUCUUAUUCCUAUAACAAAAUAAAAGAAUAAAAUAGAAUUUUUAUUUUGUGUUGCAUAUUAAGUAUAGAAAUAAAAAUUUAUAUCCUAUUUUCAUUCCAUUAUUUAUUGCAUUUUUAUUUCAUUUUAUUUCACGUAUCAAAUAUAAUAUUACAUUAUUAGAAGCACUCGUUUCCAAUUUAAAAGUUUAAGUUAAUAGGUGGAGAUUUCUAUGAAACGAUUGUGUGGCUGGAAUGUAGUCUAACUACAUCGUUACAACCUACCAGGUUACUUAUUUUUAUUAAUAGAAAAUGAAAUGAGGCAAAAAGUGUUCACCACCUCAAUCCGCCCAAAAUCGAAUAAGAUCGGAUAUUUGCCGGAUCAAGUAAAAUUGUUAUCCCUAAAGAGUGAAAAAGAUAUUAUUUUAUAUUGAAAAAAUUACAGUAUGACUCUUGUAUUUUGUAAAAUAUAAUUAAUUUAUCCUUGCAUAUCUUAAAAAUAGACUAUAAUUUUUCUGUAAUUCACUUCCUAACAUAACUAGAUCUUUUCGUCCAAUUUUUAUAUUUUCCAUUAAAUACAUUAUAUAAAAGGACUAAAGUAACCUUUCUUCCCCUUCUCCAUGGCUCAACUACUGUUCCUUUCUUAUAUCACCAACAUUAAAACUCUAUUUUUGGAGUGCAAUAAUUACACUGAAAACAAAAUUAAACAAAAAUGAAAAGGAAAAAUUAAAUCACUUCAUGAUGAACUUAGCAAAAAUGAAUGAAGCAAAAUUAUAUUAAUAACAGAACUGAAUGAAAAAUAAAGCUUUGAGAUUGAAAUGUAUAUGCCUCGCUAAAUACGGUGAAAAGUUAAUAAUUGAGCGAGUUUAUUCUCUAAGAGGAAAUUGAUUGAACAGUUGAUGUUCACAAUAGCCAAUGUAUAAAAUAGAAAAACAAACGGCCGCAUAAAUUUAUUACUGUAUUUUACCUGAGAAAUCUUAUGGCACUUCAAACUUUGCUAUGUAUCUAUUAUGCCGCUUAAAUUAUAAAUUUUAGUAACGCUGUAUCCUUAUUCAUACCAGUAAUAACAGUUUUUUUUAGUGUUUUUAGCAUUUAUAUGCAAAAUAUUCACUUGAUAUGCGGUUAGUAUAAGUUUUAAAACAAUAAUUUCAUAUUUUUUAACUAUAGAAUAAGUGUUUAAUCGAUCUAAUUUUUUAAGUUUGAGCGUUCAAUAGAAUAAUUUUUAUAAGUUGAAGUAUUUAAUAAGUAUAAUUUAUAAGUGGAUGGAAGUGUUUAAUAGAGCAAUAUAAAAGUUGAGAUUGCCACAAAAUAUUUUUUUUACGUAAAGUAUAGAAGUGAAUUUAUGCAUUAAACAAAAAACAAACAGAUACUUAAGAGCAUAAUUUGGAAAUGAUUUGAAUUUGAUUGGAGGGAAUGCUAAAUUUUUAUCCAAAUACGAAGAAAUGGAGCUUGAAAACCAGGAACAAAAUCAAGUAAAAUAACAACCAGUUUGGGGAAUUCUAACCUGGGAGUUGUAGCCGCCAAAAUCAAAUAAUAAGGGUAUGAAGAUUUAAACUUGAAGUUGAAGGACUUGGAAUUUUGAAGUCUAGGGAAGAGCAUGAGGAUGAAGUUGCUUCUCACAUAUUAUGAAAAGAUUUUUAAACUGUUUCUCAACAACUUCAUUUAUUUUCCAAGAAUAUAUGAGAAAGCAAAACAAAAGAGGAAGAUGAAUUGGUUUUGAUUUUGAUUAUUCUAUCUUUUAUCUCUUUCAUUUCUUUCUUGAAGAGAUUGAAGAAAAACAAGUGCAAUUGUACAUUUUAUCUUACCUCCCAUUUGGGUUUAGGGAUUGGUGG